rnacentral:ncRNA from 1 species
AAAAAUUUCAAAAAAGCUCUUGCUUUUUUGAAUGUAAUAUGGUAUUAUAUUUAAGCACUCAAAAUUAUAUAUCGCGGGAUGGAGCAGUUUGG